UUGAAAAGAACUUUGAAGAGAGAGUUCAAGAGUACGUGAAACCGUUCAGGGGUAAACCUAAGAAACCCAAAAGAUCGAACGGGGAGAUUCAUCGUCAGCGGCGUCGGCUUCGCGUCGGUGGGCGAUGACCCGCGGGCACGUCCCGCGGGCACGCUACCGUGCGCGCACGUCCGGCGUCGUCGUCGUGCACUUCUCCCCUAGUAGGACGUCGCGACCCGCUGGGUGUCGGUCUACGGUCCGAGUGCGGUGCCUGUCGCGUCGCCGGUAAAACGGCACGCGGCAAACCCUCGGUCGCCCGACCGGCUGCCCGGCGGUACUCGCAAGGUAUCAGGCCGCAAGGCGCGCGCGGCGCACCCGCGCCGCGCGCCUACCUGCGUCGAGUCCGUCGCAAGCGCGCGCCAUGGUUGCUCGGAGGUUACGGACCCAGCGCCGUCCCCGGUCCUGGCCCGCUGUUCGCUCGACGGUGACCCUUCGACUGGCCUCGAAGCGCGGUUUGCGGGGGCCGUCCCGCGGUCCUCUCACGCGCGAUACCGGUCGGCGACGCUACUGCUUUGGGUACUCUUAGGACCCGUCUUGAAACACGGACCAAGGAGUCUAACAUGUGCGCGAGUCAUUGGGAUCAGAGAAACCUAAAGGCGCAAUGAAAGUGAAGGUCGGCCCUGGCGCCGACCGAGGGAGGAUGGGCCGCGUCGCGAUGCGGCCUCGCACUCCCGGGGCGUCUCGUUCUCAUUGCGAGAAGAGGCGCACCAAGAGCGUACACGUUGGGACCCGAAAGAUGGUGAACUAUGCCUGGUCAGGACGAAGUCAGGGGAAACCCUGAUGGAGGUCCGUAGCGAUUCUGACGUGCAAAUCGAUCGUCGGAACUGGGUAUAGGGGCGAAAGACUAAUCGAACCAUCUAGUAGCUGGUUCCCUCCGAAGUUUCCCUCAGGAUAGCUGGCACUCUGCCGUUCCACGGAACGCGCACGAGUCUCAUCUGGUAAAGCGAAUGAUUAGAGGCCUUGGGGCCGAAACGACCUCAACCUAUUCUCAAACUUUAAAUGGGUGAGAUCUCUGGCUUUCUUGAACCAUGAAGCCACGAGCAUCUCGGAUCAGAGUGCCAAGUGGGCCAAUUUUGGUAAGCAGAACUGGCGCUGUGGGAUGAACCAAACGCAGAGUUAAGGCGCCUAACUCGACGCUCAUGGGACACCAUGAAAGGCGUUGGUUGCUUAAGACAGCAGGACGGUGGCCAUGGAAGUCGGAAUCCGCUAAGGAGUGUGUAACAACUCACCUGCCGAAGCAACUAGCCCUGAAAAUGGAUGGCGCUGAAGCGUCGAGCCUAUACUCUGCCGUCAGCGGCAAGUGGGGCGGGCGUUCGCACGCGGGUCGGACUCGCUCUCACCCGAGGGUCGGCGUCUCUCACGCGGGUGGCGCCCGUCACGAAGCCCUGACGAGUAGGAGGGUCGCGGCGGUGCGCGCAGAAGGGUCU
rnacentral:rRNA from 1 species